CACAUCCAUUUGGUGAACCUGCUUGUUUUGUUGUGUAAUAUCUUUUAAGUCCACAUGGUAUUAGAUUUCUGAACUAGGAAAACAUUUCUUUCUCUCUAGAGAUUAAUUAACAGCUUCUAUUGCGGGCCCACAGUCUCUAAUGCACAGUGCCGAAAUCUAAAUAUUUCUGAAAACCAAGACUUUUCCUGUAAGUUAAUGGCAAACCUAUUUGGUGGCAAAACCUGACCUGGUCAUAUUUGAGGAUUAAAGGCUUGAUGUGAAUAUUACAACUUCAACCACAGAAAUGUACACAUGUUUGGAAAUGGCCUGAAUCCUGUUGAAUUGUUAUUUAGUGUAUACAAUAUAUGUACAUAAUCACUGGUCUAAACUCCAAAUGUUCUGAAUUCAUAGAAACAUUCACCCCCAGGGAUUUCUGAUAAGGAAUUGAGGAACUGUGUUAGAUAGCAAGAACUUUUAAUACUCUUUAUUUCCCAUUUUUGCCCUGACUGCCAAGAAGGUCAAGUUUAAAUAAUUAAGCGAAUUCACUGCAAUUAGCUUUUGUCUAAAGUUUCUUAGUACAAUUAUCCUUUCUAUAACUUGGCAUUUGAAAAAUUAUCUGUGCAAUAUGGUGUUCUUGAAUUGGACUCUUAUUUGAACCUGUUUCACAUUAUAAUUUUUUAAAAAAAUGAGUAUAAACUUAUUGCAAAAAAAAAAAAAGUGAAUCCAGAAAUAUUCUAGAAACUAUUAGGACAGAUGGUUCCUAAAUGUCCCUGUCUGCCACCCUGCCUCGUGGGGGUGGAAUUGGGAUGGAGGAGGGGCUGGCAUGAUUAUGGAUUGAUUCCUUCUGUGCGUCCUCUGUAUGCCCAGAGGAGACAAAGGACACUCCCUUGACAUCCCCUGUGACCACAGCUCUCAGCAUCUUAGUCAACUCAUCUACUCAUACAUUCAGCCACCACUCAGAUGCAGCCAUGAGCCUACUUCAGGUGGGUGCAGAAAAUAAUUUGCUUGUGGAUUUGCUUUGUUGACAAGCUUCUUCCUAAUUAUUACAUCAAAGCCACCUUUUUUGGGAUACUUAAAAAUAAUAGUUGCACAAGUCAUACAUUAUAGUUUGGAUAUGAAGUAUCCCCCCAAAGACUUGUGCUUUAAAGACUUGUUAUGCAGAGGUAGGGAUUUGGGCAAUUAUUUGGAUCAUGAAAGCCACUGAUAGAUUUAUAGUUGAAUGGACCAUGGGGAGAAGGUAGAAACCACAGGAGGUGGAACAUAAUUACAGGGAUUGGGUUCUUGAAGGUGUGCACUAUGUUUUGCCCCCCAGUCCCGGCCCCGCUCUCCUUCCCCUCCCCUCCUCAAUUUCCCUGUUUCCUGUCUGCUGGGAAGUGAUCAGCUUUCCUCCCCUAUGUCCUGUUGCAUUGAUAUUUUGCCUUACCUCACACCCAAAGCAAUGGAGCCAGCUGACCAUCACUGAAAACUUUGAAACCAUGAGCUAAAAUACAUCUUUCUUCCUCUAAAUUGUUUUUCUUAGGUGUUUUGUCACAGCAAUGAAAAUCUGACUAAUACACCAUGAGAGCUGAUUUUUCUAAAAACUAUACAUAAUGGAAUACACAUAUUUAGUCACUACAUAAAGGAGUAUUAAUUGCUAAAUGAUGGAGAUUAUGGGUGAUUCUUUUUUGUGGAGCUUGCCAUUAUAUUUUAAAUUUUCAAUGAUU
rnacentral:lncRNA from 1 species